GACGAACCGUGCGAACGUUAUUCGGAAUCACUGGGCUUAAAGCGCGUGUAGGCGGGUGGGCACGUCGGCCACUGAAAGCCCCCGGCUCAACCGGGGAAGGGGUGCCGAAACGGCCCGCCUGGAGGGACGUAGGGGGAUCUGGAACUUCCGGUGGAGCGGUGAAAUGCGUUGAGAUCGGAAGGAACGCCCGUGGCGAAAGCGAGGUCCUGGACGUCAUCUGACGCUGAGACGCGAAAGCUAGGGGAGCGAACGGG
rnacentral:rRNA from 1 species